GAUGAACGCUAGCUACAGGCUUAACACAUGCAAGUCGAGGGGCAGCAUGGAAGUUUGCUUGCAAACUUCCGAUGGCGACCGGCGCACGGGUGAGUAACACGUAUCCAACCUGCCGAUAACUCGGGGAUAGCCUUUCGAAAGAAAGAUUAAUACCCGAUGUUAUAGUCCUACCGCAUGAUGGGAUUAUUAAAGAAUUUCGGUAUGGGAUGGGGAUGCGUUCCAUUAGUUAGUUGGCGGGGUAACGGCCCACCAAGACAACGAUGGAUAGGGGUUCUGAGAGGAAGGUCCCCCACAUUGGAACUGAGACACGGUCCAA
rnacentral:rRNA from 1 species